CACGGCCCAUUGAUGCCCUGCUAUGUGACAAUAGUGACCUGCUCAGCUCCCAUGCACUGCAAGCAGACAGUUAAUAAUUACAGGGAUCCAGGGCAGAGGAGAGAAUCGGGCUCAGAUAUGUUCUAUGCUUCCAAGAGGCAGGAGCAGGAUGAAGGUGUGCUGAAAAUUUGUGCAUCAAAGAUAUACAGUUUUGCCCAUUAGCAUUUUAACCUAAAAUAUGAAAAGACAAGUUGAAAAUACGUAUGGCAAAAGCUUAAUGUCAAAGAAACGGUGAGGGGUAGGAAGAGUUACAGUGGACAGGCACAACUAAAAGGCACCUCAGGUAAACAAUGGAGAUGGAUGGAUACUAGUAUACUUAUGGAUGGACGAUCGACUGCCGACACAGAGGACCCUCUUGGCUUCGCUACAGCUGAUCCCCUUGCUGAGACAGUAAAAUAUUAUACAACCUAGGAAUUGGAUAACGGUGUAAUUUGGACCCUGAGCCAAGCUUUUUGUUAGAAAUGCAAAGAGUUUGGAGGGGGCACAGCAACAGACUUGCCAGUCACUGCCUUAACCUCAACAGGUGUUUACCACACCCUCUUCAGAGGCUUGCUGCCAAUUCAUGAUGGGACACCAGUAGAAGACUGUUCUCAAAGAUCACAAAGGGUGCGGCCAAGCCCCCUAUAGCACUGGCAUGGGACCCAACUUUCCUCACUGCAGUCCUGAUUCUUGUUACUGAGUAGAAUAAUAACUUAUCACAGAAUAUUCUGCUCUGUAUGCCUCAGAGUGUUCACUUAUGGUACAUCUGAGCAGACACUUUGUAAGACACUUUUUAAGAUCAAACUGGAAUUCUUACUGUGACUAAAAUGUAUAGGGCAUGCCAAAGUGAUAGUAAGCUCCAAACACUCCCUGCCCACUAUAAUGUGUUCACCUCUCUCCUGAUUGGUUGAUAUGUUUUUGUUUUUUCUGAAUUCACUUUGACUCUCACUAAAUGAUUGUACCUAGGAAAGUAAAGGGUGAUUAAACCAGCCAUUUCCAAGUUUCAUACUGUCUUUAUUUAUAAUUAAUACUUUAAACAGCUAAUUAACUUAUAAUAACAACAAUAAUAAUAAUAAUAAUAAUAAUAAUAAUAAUAAUAAUAACUACUCACUCUCCCAGUAGUCUUUUCCUACAUUCUUCCAAAGGAAAGGUAUGAAAAGUAGUUAACCCUCCAUCAGGCGCACCUCUGGGACUCCCGGGUUCAGAUGCAGUGUGCCUGACAGGCGCCUGUUAGAAAAUUUUCAUUUGCACCUAAUUAACUCAAUUCUAACGUACUUAAAGUGAUCAGUGACCUUCAUUAGGACAUACAAAGAGAGAAAAUUCUAAAUCUGAUUAAAAAAAACUAAUUUAUUAACCUCAAAGUAAGUAAAACAAAAAAUACUGACAUUUGAAGGCGCAGUGUGCCUGAGAGGUCACCCUGGACAAACCUACAUAUUUGCGCAAAAUAUCCACAACCUUUGUUUUUUUCAUUCAUAAAAUUAGCAAAAUAAACAAUUAAUAGAUGAAAAUAAAAGGAAAUACGAACCUUCAAAAGUCGUACGAGUCUGGGCGCAAUGGGCCUGAGAGGCCAGGAGGGUCACUACUGCACUCCACGCAGGCGGCAGUAAAACUGUCUAGGGGUGUUUUGAACAGCACCUAGAGAUAGGAAGGUACUUUGGGGCGGAGAGGGGAGCGAGGACAACUUUGCUGCGCCUGACUGAGGGUUAAAUGACUUACAGGGGUAGAUGAUCAUAUUUAGGAUCCUGUACACAAAAUUACAUCUUAUUUUAGGGAUACAGCAGAUUAAUCAGGCAGGUAAUGUAGCUACCUCACUGUCUAUAGGGGACAUACCAUACUGCCUAUAACAGCCCAUCAAAACUAUAAGUACCUGAUUCUGACUUGCACCAUACCAUAGAUAUGGAUAUAGUCGCUCCUUGAUGGAGGCUAGGUUUGUGGCUUGUUCUAUAUGCCCAUGAAACUGACAUUUCUUGGUGUACACUGGGGGGAGGGGGGUAUAUUUACUAAGGUCCCGAUUUUGACCGAGUUUUUUUUUUCCAAAGAGUCAUCUCGGGAAUUUACUAAACACAAAUCUCAGCAGUGAUGAGGGCAUUUGUAUUUGUUUUAACGGCAGAGUUCACAAAUACAAAUGAAUACAGCAUUAGUCAAACACGCCUGUUAUUUUAUACAACUCGGUAAUUUACUAAGAAUUCGUAUUCACAAUCACUGCCGGCAAUAGCCAAACACUGCCGGUAAAUCAUAGAAUUCGUUAAAAAAAACAGUUUUAAAAUAGACCUGCUUUUUUUAUCCGUAUUCUGAUAGGCAUG